GUGAAGACCACAGUUUCCUGUCGCGUGGAUGUGUUUCCUCUCUGGCCAUUGCCAUCCGCCCAAAUCUACAGACAUCCCGCAUGUUCCCGGGCUCGUCUCCCCAAUACAGGGCACCAAGGCUGUAGACUGCGCAGCCCUCCUGGAGACAGAUGGAAGCUCCUUGGGUCGACAGAUUACAGCUUCUGGAACCCCCUACUCCCUUCAACUCCGAGAUGGACACCCACUGUCCAGGGAGAGGAUGCCUGGAAAUAACAGCUGGGAUCUACAGUGGCCAAAGAGUUGUCUCCGUCUUGCUACAUCGACAAACUGGUGCUCCUGAGUGAGGAUUGUGCCCUGGGAUGGGGGAUUCAGUUUCUUCAUUUAUAGUUGGAAGUGGGUGAAGGUGAGCCACUUCGGAAGCGUUUUCCUCUCCACUCUGACAACAGGCAAGAGUGAGGGUCCAACAAUACAGAGGAAGUAACGUGUCGCUGCUACUCUUCCAUGCCCAGUGCCAGGAGCGACGGUACACUCCAGAGUGCUGUGCCCUGAUGGGCCUUUGAGUGGCCAGUGCAGUGGAUCAUCAGCCCUGUCUCCCAAGAGCUCCAGUCCCUUCUCCGGAGAGGAAGUGGGUCCACUGGCAGCUCAGGAGGCCAUAGCAGAUUGUGGGGCUCUGUGCAGUUGAUGUUAGUUAACCACUGGAUCCACGUGUUCACCGUGGCUUGCGCCCCUGCAUCCGAAAGUGAUCUUGGCUGCCGUGUCCUGGUCAUUGGUAGUGCAGGGAAAGGAUGCGGAAAGACGGGCUCCGAGCUCGGGGCGUCUGGCCUGGAGCUUUCCUACACUUGUGUCUUGCUCUGCAGCCUUACGGAAGUGUGGGUGGCGCUUUCUGGAAGCUGCACAAGAUUGUCACGUGUGCUCAACAGUCCUCCUCGGCUUUCCAGAAGAGGCUGGAACAGGGCCCUUGAAGAUGUUUGUGGACAUCAGAGGGCCAAAGACGACACAAAGUGAAACUGGAGACACCGCCCCCCCUUGGCAUCAUGAAACUGCCGAUGUUACUGGCUCAUGCAUGGGAGACACCAGCAUACAAAGUCUUGACACCAACACCUCAGAGGGCUGUGUUCUGUCCCCGUGACCAUCAUCUAGUGCCUGGAAAGACUAGUGACAAGAACUUGUUGCCAACUUCCUAUUACCUCCCUAACAGUUGUGCAAUAAACCCCAUAGGUUAAUUCA
rnacentral:lncRNA from 1 species